GAUGAACGCUGGCGGCGUGCCUAAUACAUGCAAGUCGAGCGAACAGACGAGGAGCUUGCUCCUCUGACGUUAGCGGCGGACGGGUGAGUAACACGUGGAUAACCUACCUAUAAGACUGGGAUAACUUCGGGAAACCGGAGCUAAUACCGGAUAAUAUAUUGAACCGCAAGGUUCAAUAGUGCAAGACGGCUUUGCUGUCACUUAUAGAUGGAUCCGCGCCGCAUUAGCUAGUUGGUAAGGUAACGGCUUACCAAGGCAACGAUGCGUAGCCGACCUGAGAGGGUGAUCGGCCACACUGGAACUGAGACACGGUCCAGACGCCUACGGGAGGCAGCAGUAGGGAAUCUUCCGCAAUGGGCGAAAGCCUGACGGAGCAACGCCGCGUGAGUGAUGAAGGUCUUCGGAUCGUAAAACUCUGUUAUUAGGGAAGAACAAAUGUGUAAGUAACUAUGCACGUCUUGACGGUACCUAAUCAGAAAGCCACGGCUAACUACGUG
rnacentral:rRNA from 1 species